rnacentral:rRNA from 1 species
GACAGAGGUCCCAAGCGUUAGGCGGAAUCACUGGGCUUAAAGCGUGUGUAGGCGGAGUUGUAAGUACCUUGUGAAAUCCCACGGCUUAACCGUGGAACUGCUUGGUAUACUGCGACUCUUGGGCCAUCUAGGGGCUACCGGAACAAGUGGUGGAGCGGUGAAAUGCGUAGAUAUCACUUGGAACGCCAAUGGUGAAAACAGGUAGCUGGGGAUGUGCCGACGCUGAGACACGAAAGCCAGGGGAGCGAACGGG